CAGUAGCCGCGGUAAUACGUAGGUGGCGAGCGUUGUCCGGAUUUAUUGGGCGUAAAGGGAGUGUAGGCGGUCUUUUAAGUCUGAUGUGAAAGCCCACGGCUCAACCGUGGAGGGUCAUUGGAAACUGGGAGACUUGAGUGCAGAAGAGGAGAGCGGAAUUCCAUGUGUAGCGGUGAAAUGCGUAGAUAUAUGGAGGAACACCAGUGGCGAAGGCGGCUCUCUGGUCUGUAACUGACGCUGAGGCUCGAAAGCGUGGGGAGCAAACAGGAUUAGAUACCCCGGUAGUCCCUGUCUCUUAUAC
rnacentral:rRNA from 1 species